AUUGAACGCUGGCGGCAGGCCUAACACAUGCAAGUCGAGCGGCAGCGACUUAACUGAACCUUCGGGGAACGUUAAGGGCGGCGAGCGGCGGACGGGUGAGUAAUGCCUGGGAAUAUGCCCUGAUGUGGGGGAUAACUAUUGGAAACGAUAGCUAAUACCGCAUAAUCUCUUCGGAGCAAAGAGGGGGACCUUCGGGCCUCUCGCGUCAGGAUUAGCCCAGGUGGGAUUAGCUUGUUGGUGAGGUAAUGGCUCACCAAGGCUACGAUCCCUAGCUGGUCUGAGAGGAUGAUCAGCCACACUGGAACUGAGACACGGUCCAGACUCCUACGGGAGGCAGCAGUGGGGAAUAUUGCACAAUGGGGGAAACCCUGAUGCAGCCAUGCCGCGUGUGUGAAGAAGGCCUUCGGGUUGUAAAGCACUUUCAGUAGGGAGGAAGGUAGUGUAGUUAACACCUGCAUUAUUUGACGUUACCUACAGAAGAAGCACCGGCUAACUCCGUGCCAGCAGCCGCGGUAAUACGGAGGGUGCGAGCGUUAAUCGGAAUUACUGGGCGUAAAGCGCAUGCAGGCGGCCUGUUAAGUCAGAUGUGAAAGCCCGGGGCUUAACCUCGGAAUUGCAUUUGAAACUGGCAGGCUAGAGUCUUGUAGAGGGGGGUAGAAUUUCAGGUGUAGCGGUGAAAUGCGUAGAGAUCUGAAGGAAUACCAGUGGCGAAGGCGGCCCCCUGGACAAAGACUGACGCUCAGAUGCGAAAGCGUGGGGAGCAAACAGG
rnacentral:rRNA from 1 species